GCUUGUCUCAAAGAUUAAGCCAUGCAUGUCUAAGUAUAAGCAAACUUGUACUGUGAAACUGCGAAUGGCUCAUUAUAUCAGUUAUAGUCUACUCGAUAGUACCUUACUACUUGGAUAACCGUAGUAAUUCUAGAGCUAAUACAUGCGCAAAUACCCAACUGCUUGUCGGACGGGUAGCAUUUAUUAGAUUGAAACCAAUGCCCCUCGGGGCUCCUUGGUGAAUCAUAAUAACUUAACGAAUCGCAUGGCCUUGCGCCGGCGAUGGUUCAUUCAAAUUUCUGCCCUAUCAACUUUCGAUGGUAGGAUAGUGGCCUACCAUGGUGGCAACGGGUAACGGGGAAUUAGGGUUCGAUUCCGGAGAGGGAGCCUGAGAAACGGCUACCACAUCCAAGGAAGGCAGCAGG
rnacentral:rRNA from 1 species